UUAGAUUAUGUUUCUGCAUUUACGAUAUUAUUAUUAUUAUUCAGUGAUCAGUUACAGAUAUCAGUCAUGGGUUAUCUUGUGGUCCUUUGGGGUCAUGAGCACCGUGUAGCAUUCCUGGUACCAGAUUCGGGACGUUACAAUAGUAGAAAGGUAGUUUUUCAUAAAUCUGCUAAGCAAGUUGUGUGACAAUUGGGCAUGAUUUUUGACAAUGUGAAUGAGUUUAGAGAUGGUGUUAAAAAAAUAUGUACUUUAAAAAGAUGUUCAGUUAGAGAAGUAUAUUAAUGAGUCCAAAAGGGUUAGGGUCAGAUGCAGGAAAGAGUGUCCUUGGCUGUAUAUGUAAGUCUUAACAAGUCUACCAGUAAUUUUAAACUAAAACCUAUAAUUCUGAGUAUACGUGUAUCAAAACCACUAGAAAAGAAAUAGGGGUACUUGUUUGAAUGACUACUGUUAGGAGAGCUAGAGGUGGAAUACUUCAAGAAUUAAUAGGUAAUCAUGUGAAAGUGUUUGGAACAAUAUUUGACUAUAGGGAUGAAAUGUUGAGGUCCAAUCUUUAUUUCACUUGUGUUGUGAAAGUAGAUGAUUUUGUUGACAGUGAUAAGCUUUUUUUUUCAAAGUUUUUACAUUUAUUUUGGUCCAUGCAAAAAAGAUUUUGUGGGUGAUUGUAUAAAAUGUAUUGGCUUAGAUGGAUGUUUCCUAAAGGGAGUAACCAAAAGAUAGUUGUUGGUUGUUAUGGCUAAAGAUGGCAAUAAUCAUAUAUUGCCUAGUGCUUGAGGUGUAGCAUAGUAUGAGAAUAAAAGCACUUGGAUAUGGAUUAUAAAAUUAUGUAUAGAGAACUCGGGAUUUAAAGAUGGCAGAGAUUACAAAAUCAUUUCAGACAUGCAAAAGGUAUUAGAUCAACAUUGAUGGAGUUUUUACCAGAGGUGGGUCAUAGGAUGUGUGCAAGGCACAUCUUUGCCAACUGGAAAAAAUGAAGAGGACUUUAAUGAAGGAAUCAGUUCUAGAAGUGCAAGAAACUCCUUUGAGGCAGAAGAAAAAUUUGAACCAAAUAACCAUGCUAGUCUGGGUUUCCAAGUAGUAUGACACUACAUACUGGUUCUGUAGAGCCUAUAAGGUAUGCUGAUAUUACUGGGGACCUUGGCUAUAAACCAAAAAUAGGAAUAAGGUGAAGGAGCAAAAAAGUAGUGAAAAAUCAGAUUGAAGUGAUCAGCGAUGAGGGGAGAAUGAACAAAAGGCAAAAAAUGACUUCUUCACAAUCCAAACUACAGUGAAAGUAGUUUUAAAAUAUUGAUAGUUUUUUAGAUUAAAACUGAUGUUGUAUUGUUAAUGGGUAGGUUAUUUUGACAAACAAUGCAAUUUACUUUUGCAAGGUCAUUUGUUUUAAA